UGGGGGAUAUUGCACAAUGGGGGAAACCCUGAUGCAGCGACGCCGCGUGGGUGAAGAAGCGCCUCGGCGCGUAAAGCCCUGUCAGCAGGGAAAGAAAAUGACGGUACCUGAAGAAGAAGCCCCGGCUAACUACGUGCC
rnacentral:rRNA from 1 species